GCCAGCCCGCUCAGAAACUCAAAGUGAAUUGACGGGGGCCCGCACAAGCGGAGGAGCAUGUGGUUUAAUUCGAUGAUACGCGAGGAACCUUACCUGGGCUCGAACGUAAGAUGACUGUAGGUGAAAGCUUACAUCUCUUCGGAGCAUUUUACGAGGUGCUGCAUGGUUGUCGUCAGCUCGUGCCGUGAGGUGUCGGGUUAAGUCCCAUAACGAGCGCAACCCCUACCUUUAGUUGCCAUCAGGUUAAGCUGGGGACUCUAAAGGAACUGCCUACGCAAGUAGUGAGGAAGGCGGGGAUGACGUCAAAUCAGCACGGCCCUUACGUCCAGGGCUACACACGUGCUACAAUGGCCGAUACAGAGGGCAGCUACCUGGUGACAGGAUGCAAAUCUCCAAAGUCGGUCUCAGUUCGGAUCGGAGUCUGCAACCCGACUCCGUGAAGUUGGAUUCGCUAGUAAUCGCGCAUCAGCCAUGGCGCGGUGAAUACGUUCCCGGGCCUU
rnacentral:rRNA from 1 species